rnacentral:rRNA from 1 species
AUGAACGCUGGCGGCGUGCCUAAUACAUGCAAGUCGCGCGAACAGACGAGGAGCUUGCUCCUCUGACGUUAGCGGCGGACGGGUGAGUAACACGUGGAUAACCUACCUAUAAGACUGGGAUAACUUCGGGAAACCGGAGCUAAUACCGGAUAAUAUAUUGAACCGCAUGGUUCAAUAGUGAAAGACGGUUUUGCUGUCACUUAUAGAUGGAUCCGCGCCGCAUUAGCUAGUUGUAAGGUAACGGCUUACCAAGGCAACGAUGCGUAGCCGACCUGAGAGGGUGAUCGGCCACACUGGAACUGAGACACGGUCCAGACUCCUACGGGAGGCAGCAGUAGGGAAUCUUCCGCAAUGGGCGAAAGCCUGACGGAGCAACGCCGCGUGAGUGAUGAAGGUCUUCGGAUCGUAAAACUCUGUUAUUAGGGAAGAACAAAUGUGUAAGUAACUAUGCACGUCUUGACGGUACCUAAGCAGAAAGCCACGGCUAACUACGU